rnacentral:lncRNA from 1 species
CAUGAGUUCAUCGAUAGUCAUUGAUUCUAGAUCUUUAGAUUCUUCGAUGGCUACGACUAUAUGUCGAAUUUUGAAUCUAAUGAUCUAAGAAUUUUCUCAAUGACUCUUACAUCGCUUAAAGUUUCACCAUUCCUCUUUAAUUGAUUGACAAUUGCCAAGGCUCUUGUAAAAUAAUCGGAAAUUGAUUCAAAGUCUUUCUUAUUUAAGGAUUCGAACUCACC